UCAUGGAAGACAUUAUUUUCCUAAUUUGAAGAUGGCAAGACUGCAGACCAGAGAAUGGAGGUAGAUGGGGAUACAAGCUUGCUUUGAGGACUCUCCAAACCUUGGAAAGCUUGCUUUGAGGACUCUCCAAUCCUUGGAAAAUACAUUUCUUGGCUGAUGUGACCGUUAAAGCUAGAAGAACCAAAUGGUCAUUUCGGAGCUUUGGUCACUGAGAUCCUUUCAAGAUUGGUAAGGUUAAAAAGGUUGUAAACAGUGGGGACAGGUUCACCUCCAACUCUGCCAGCCACAGUGGAGGCAGCAAGAGAUUGCGGUGGGGCAGAAGCUGGAUUCUGGAAGACACGGACAGGGGCUGGAGCCAGAUACUCCAGUGCCGUUACCAGGUCCGACUGUCCCCAUGCUUGGGAUGGCCUUGUGACUGUGUUACCUGCGAUGGCAGGGUUGUCAUUCAGACUCUGGGGUUCACGACCCGGGAUAAACCUGUUGCUGCACAGCCUUAGGGCACAGGCAUCUGGGUCCUCACAGCAAGACGGCGAACUCUCUGGUAAAGGACAGGAAGGAGAGGGCAACGGAAUCAGUCCCUGAUGGUGGAAGCUGGGGUUCCAGCCCUGUGUGCGGGGUGGCACUCAAGCUUGCUUGGGCCCCUCUGAAGCAUCCUCCUUCCAGUGCCCUGCAGCGAGGUGGACUGGGCUGCAGCUGCUUGGGUGGGGGCAGUAGUUGCUACUGGAAUCCUGCCCAGUAUGGGGACUGAA
rnacentral:lncRNA from 10 species